CACCAGGACGAGGCAGGUUUGCAGCUCACCCGAGAGCCCCCAGCCCCCUGGGGUGCGAGCAAGGAGAGGCACGGGGUGCCCCCGGGAACAAGGUUCCAGGCCCUCUGGAGUGGUCCUGUCAGCCACUCUCGUGGGGAAGCCCUGGGAGGGAAGGGAUCCUGGGUGUAGACAGCCUGCCCCAGGUCCAGGGAGAUGGAGUAGGUGAAUCCAUCCACCAGCUCCUCCACGCUCCCCAGGGUGGAGCUCUGCAAAGCCGGCACCUGGUAGCUGGGGAGGAGGCACCCAUGGUUGCGUGGACCUCCCCACAGGGGGCAAUGUGGGCCCCCAACUCUGCCCCCGAGAUCAGGCCCACAGGGCCAUCUGCAUAGACAUCCAGUCCCUCAGGGAAGAGGAGGACACCCCUGGGCUCAGGAUUAACAUGUGGGUGGAAGUACCUGGUCCCAACACUCACCUCCAUGUCCUGAAUCAUGAGACCAGAGCUGUGACACUGACUGCCCCCUGCUCCCCAGCCUUCAGUCCCACCCAUGCCCCAUGCCCACCGCACACACACAAGGGGCCUGGGGAAACGUCAGCCAGGAUGGGUCACACUCGUGGCCUGGCCCUGGAAUGGCCCGCUCUGGGCUGCCCUGUGUUACCUCGGGGCUCCUCGGGAUACACGGAUAGAGGCGUUGGAGGAGGUCACUGAGCCAACGCCCACAGCGAGCAGGAAGACUCUCCCUCUCGGCUUCCCUGACUCCCUCGCUUUCAGAAGGCUCCGCACAACAAGACCGCAUGUUGCUCUGUCGAGCGCCUCCGGUCAAGUGAGCUGGACUGGGUUCUGCGACCAGGAGCUGGGUUCCAUCCGUCCGGGUCACAAUUGAGGUUCUACUUGGCAUGUCAUCAGUGACAUCACUUCUUCAAGGGCCCCUCCCUGCAUUCAGACACGCCCACGUGCCCCUCUGGGCUGCUGACUGCCCACCCUCCUGGCCCUUGCCAUGCAUGAGUACACACAUCUCCACCAGAGCCCUCCCCACGCUCUCUGGCAAUGUCACCGGGGUCCCAGCUCUGAGGAGACAAGAGCUGAGCUCAGUCCGCUUUUUCUCACUAGUUCCCUGUCCUGCUGAGGCCACAGCACCUCCCAGGACCUGCCCAACAUCCCAACCUGCACAGGGAGGGUCACGCCAGACAUUUCUCCCUAAGGACAUCCCCAGGGAUACAUGGAUGACACCUCCAGCUCCUGGGGACUGGCGUCACAUGUGUCUGACACACAGACUCAGAGAUGGAAGAAUGCCAACCAGGCUUGGCAUGGAGCGUGGAACACCACGCAGGUCAGGCCGGGGUCCAGGCCGUGUGAUCUUGGGCAAGUCAGUCCCCUUCUAGGCCGUUUUCAGGUGUGCACCUUGAAGGGGCAGCAAUGAGAGGAGAUCCAGGUGUUGCCAUCUACUGCCUUCCACCUUCCACAGGUCCAGGCUGCUCUCAAAUCUGAAAUCCGCACCAGGCGUGUGUGUGUGUUUGGGGUGGUGGUGCAGAUACAGCAUCUUAUUCUUCACCUUAGAAGGGAUAGCUUGGCAUGCCCACAAGAUAGAUUUCUAGUAACUUCUCUAAGAUGAAAGGUCCCUCAAUUUUUGUUGGAUUUAGUCCACCUUCUGACAUGUGACUGCGCUGUCAAUAUGCCUAGAUGAGCUGUACUUCCUGAUCACUGGGUCCAGUCAGCCUAGUACCAUCAAUGGGAUGGGCCAGUGUGACGGCUUCUGGAAGAAAAAGGAGAUGAAGCUUCCUUCUGUCUAAAUGACAACCCAAGUCUGGAGGUCUGAUAUGCCUCUGAGAUAGUUUUCUCUCCUUGCCGGCUGAAAGCUAACUGCCCUGCUGGUCUUUACUCACAGGAAGAGAACAAAGAGCAUUUUCCUGACCAAUACUUACACACUGGGUGCUUGGGGACCAAGUGAUGAAGCCCCAUGUGCAGCAGGAACUGCAGUUUGAGACACUCUGAUUACACUGACAAUCAUUCACUGUCAUCUCCAAGAUUCGUCUGUUUUCUAAGUAGGCUAAAUGAGUGACUUCAAUAAGGGUAUGUGGAAAUCACCACCCGUUCUUCUUUCAAAUCCUUGGUGUCACCAGGCAUUACUGCUUUCAAUGUAUACAGGGAGUUCUAGAGGCUUGUACUUGCCCUGCCACACAGCAUGAACUCCUGGCCGGCACAGUCCCCCGUGUCUAGCAAGGAGGAAGCCGGGAGCUCUGCGUCCCUGACAGCUCGGCCCUGUGGCCUCUGACACUGAAGGAGCGGCACUGCGGGCACUUGGUCGGGGUGGGGGGUGCUGCUCCUGAUACCAAGACCCGGUCCUCGUCCCUGAGGUCAAACCACAAAACACAAUGACAAGGGUUUGAAGAAAGGAAAGAAUAGUUUAUUGACUUGCUAGCAAAUGAGGGAGUGGCCAGCUCCUGCCUUGAAGAACCACCGUCCUCCUGACACAAGCGGUCAGGGCUUUUCAAGGGGAAAUGGUAGGAGAGGGGCUGGGGUGCCGACACAUGAAGUAGCAGCCUGCAAAGGUCCAAGCAGACAUUCCUCCUCCGAUUCACUAGCUUUGUGUUUUUCUUUUCUGAUGCUCCUCAGUUCCCGGGGACUGGAUGCUUGGGGUUGAACAAAAUCAGCUUUCAGCUUUAACUCUGACCCUCAGACUAGGAAAAUCUGAAGAACAAGAAGAAACUGCCACCCCAUCCACCUCUGCCCAUUAGUGGACAAAGUUUCUGGGGCUGUUUGAGUUCACUUUCUAGUAAAUGUUAGUGUUCAGUUUUGAACAAAGAUUUGAUUCCCCUUUUCUUCUAUUACAAAUUCAUUUCUUACUGUUACAUUCCUUAACAGCAGCCCAAAAACUGAUCAUGAAAUGCCUUGAGGGAGAGUUUCUGACUAUUACCUGAAGAUAGGCACAAGUUGAAAAACACAGCUCUAAGCGUUUCUUGGAAUAUCAGUGCUGGCUGAUAAGACAGGAACUGCCAUCUGCGGUUCAGAUUUCCAGUGGACUUGGCUUAUGUGUUCAAAUUCUGCAAAUGUUGCUGUUAGAAUCAGCAAGGGGCUGUCUCCUUGCAAGUGCUUGGAGCUGACAGCCUUGCAUUUAAUACUCGCAUGCAGAAUUUUCUCAAGAGCCCCUCCCGCACUUCUAGCACAUGAAGAAGUUGGGGAAAUGAGAAGAGGGGGCCCACAGAUGCCUUUAUGUCCAGACCCACUGCCCCACUCCCUCCACAGAGGCCUCAGGAGCCAAGGGGGCAGUGCUUGCAAGCCUAGGGCCUCCACUUUGCCUUCCAGGCUGCUCCCCCUGCUGCUGCUGCUGCUGCUGUUGCUAAGCUUGUUAGCACUUUCAGAAACUUAGGAGAGAAACACAAGCGCAACUUGGGCCUCACUGAGGUUUCGGUUCAGUGAACAGGCCCAGCACCCUCCUGGCGACCCAGGUGUGCCUGCUUCCGGGAGCGCCUUCCUUAUACACUGGAGGGCGGGACCAGGCCAGGUGGGGUGGGGCUCCAUUCCCCAGAGUUUCUGUGUUGGGAAGGGGACAGAGGUCGGGCCAGGGCCUCCCGUCCUCCUGUGGCCAGUGGGUGGGAACCCGCUUUCCGAUGAACAGCUGUUCCGAUCCGUGUAUGGCUUGUUAGAGGUAAAACUUAUUUUUUCUAGGUAUUGGAAGAGCCUUUUGCCAUAUAUAUUAUAUACAUACAUCCUCCGUCGGACCUGGAGAUGGGGCUGAGGGAAGCGGGCAGUGAAUGGGAUUUUUUUUUUUCCUGUCAGAAAACGUGACAGGACAUGCUUAAAUAUAGCAUUACCUGGCAAAAAAAUAUCAUCCUUCCGUCCGGAUUCUACCUUUUUCAGUGAAUGGAUGUCAGCCAGAGGGGAGGAAGGGUCUCCGGUUUCGGGUUCCCGCCCAGCGCCUGCAGGCAUCCUCCCCUCCGCGCACAGCCUCAAGGGCCCCCCUGGGCUUCCCGACACUAAAGCGGCCUCGUCCCGUGGGGGCAUCAGGCUUAGACCCUCUGUGCCUGCUGCUUUCAAGUCAAGGCGGAAGACUUGGGUGUGGAGUUCACGUGGCCACUAGGAGUUCGUGGCUACUCGGAAAGCGCGUGUCUCCGCAGCCCAGGAUCACCCCCGACAAAAGCCGAUUGUGCCAAGGCAUUCCUCAAAUGAAAAGGGAAAUUAAUGAUUCCUUCUGUUAGAAUCCCUUUCCAUCCUAAAAACGGCAUUUUUGCAUACUUAUUCGUACAUUUCCUUAAUAGCCCUCGCAUAGAGAUGUGUACAGGUGCGAGGAGAGCAGUGAUUGUCCAAACCCUUAAAGAGCCCAACAGUGGCUCCUGCACUCAGACUCUUAGUAAUCACUCCUGGCUGGUGCUGGGGUGACUGUGACAGUGGUGACAGCGUUCACACGAAUAGCAUGUUCAACAGCAUGGGUCCUCUGAGACCUCUGGCAAUUUUAUGUAUCACCUCACUUUGCCACUCGCCACAUUUUGCCUUGUGUUGUAGUUAUUUCUAAACAAAUGCUUGAGUAGGAGGAUUGUGUUUACUUAUUUCCAUUUACUCCAUGAGGGAGAGCACUAGGUUCAUGUAUAUUAAUUAGUAAGUGCUUUAGGGUAUGUAUGUAAUUGAAAAUCUGUACACCUGAAACUCAUGUAUCAACUAUAUCUCGAUUUUAAAACAAGAAAGAAAUUGGUGGUAAUGGUUGUUCAGUAACUGCUUUUCUUAGAACCAUAUAGAAGUGCUUGGCCGUGGCCAAGAAUGUUUGACCACCUUGGUGCAAACUGCCUAGCUUAUUGCAGUAAUUUCCUAACUGGUUCCACCAAGUCUUUUCUUGCCACUCUUGAACAGAAUUUCUU